UAACGUCUUCAGGGCGGGGUGCAAUUCCCCACCGGCGGUAGGCGAGGUCCUGUCCACGACAGACCACGCGAGCCCGCGAGCGCCUCCAGUGCAGCGGAGGGUCAGCAGAUCCGGUCGAAUGCCGGAGCCGACGGUUCAAGCGUUCCGCUUUCCGUGGAGCGCCCACAGUCCGGAUGAAAGAAGACGGCU
rnacentral:ncRNA from 2 species